ACACGAGUCAGCAAGGCCUCUGUAAUUUCCCCUUUUUUGUGGUUAUUUGAUUUAAAUAAAAACUCCCUCUCUUCAAGGAAGUCAGUUUUGCACUCGCUUAUGGUCUUCAAAGGAUUUGGUUCCUUCUUAUGCACCUACUGUAUAAGAUGAUCACAAUUUUUGCAUUAAUUCCAUGGAUCACUCUGUCUGUGGUGACAGAGCUGAGUGCUGCAGUCAGUUCUGUUGAUCGGUUUGUGCUGAAAGGAAACUCUACUAACCUCACAGUGGAGGGACUACAAACAGAGAAUGUCCGGAGACUUUCAUGGAAAGUAAACUCAACGCUUAUACUGGAGUACAACCUGAAGGAAAAGAAAGAGACGUACUUUGGCAGUUUUGAGCAGAAGACAAAUUUUAACCCCACAGACUACUCUCUGUACAUUAAGAACCUGAUGGAGACAGACAUUGGUCUCUACUCUGCUGAAAUUCUUGACAAUAAUGGAAAAUCCACCUAUCACACGAAGUAUAACUUACAUGUCCUGGGUAAGUUGGAUUUUUGCAACCUGAUCAUUUGUGUCUCUUACGGCUGGUAAUGUGAUCGGUGAGGACGAUUCUGAUAUGUUCCAUCUGGUUCUGUGCUGUUUCACAGAAGCUGUACCCAAACCCAUCCUAAAUCUGAUGUUACUCCAUCUCAACUCCUCUGGAACAGUUUGCAAUGUGUCAGUGAACUGCUCAGUUGGACACAGCUGGGUCUCCUGCACCUGUGAUCAGGACCAGUGUAAACAUGUGGAACUCCAGUCAGAUGUGAACAUCAGUGUCACUGCUAACAAGGGUACCAUCACCUGUACAGGCAGCAAUCUGGUCAGCAGUGCAAACCAGUCAAAAGCGAUGGAACCUCUAUGUGUUCAAUCCCCCCUUACAGGUUCCUCUGCAUUCAUGGGUAUCAUUGCAUCCGUUUUGGCAGUUUUCGGGGUUGUAUUAAUAUGUGUCAUAUCGCUGGUUAGAAGAUCCAUGAGGUCUUCAAGCCAUUCUGUAUCACAGAACAUCGGAACUGAGCAAAACACUAUAUACUCCACUCCGGAGAACCCAAGCACACACUGCCCUCUAAAUGUCAACCAAGAGACUGAUCAAACUGUGUACUGCACUGUGAUGCAGAGAAAUAACCAAGGGUCCAACGCUACAGUACCUCCAAGCCACGAUGGUGAUAUUACUAUAUACAGUAUGGUGAAAAAAUGACCUGGACCUCCUAACUUGAUGUAAGGGUUUAAAGCAUAUCAACUGUGACACAGAGUGCAGUUUAGUAGGUUGAAUGGUAGGGCAGCAGGUAGCUCUCACCGCACCUGGACCGUCUGAGUGAUACUGGAUUCGAAUCCAUCCCAGUUUGUAUGGAGUUUGCAUGUUCUCCCAUAUUCCAAAGACAUGUUUUUUUUGGAGAAUGUCUUUUGCGACCCUGUAAUGGACUUGAUUCUGUUGGUCAAAGGUGGAAUGACAGUACAGGGUUUAUGGCCCUAUCAGGACACCAUGGUUUUGUAUUAAUUUUAGUUAUUAUAUUUUGUCAUGUCUUAUAAAGGUGAGCUAUGCUUUAUUGUUAAAGGUGUUUACAGAGAAAGAGAGAAAUUGGGUUCUAACCUUGUUCAGUUUGUGUGUGUGAGUUUGUAUGUUCUCCCCAUGUUCACAUGGGUUUUCUCCCAUGGUCCAAAGACAUGUGUUUCAAGUGAAUUGGUGAUCCUAAUUGCCCAUAACAUCAGAAACUGGUAAUUCAGAACUGGUAUCAAAGCCAGGGUGGUAACGGUUGAUGUCAGGAAGGGGAUCGGCAACAAAAAAACCUCAGCUCCAGCUGAAACUUAAAAUGCUGCAGAUUCUGGAGGUUCAAAAUUCAAACUGGGUUCUAGAAAAAGCAGUGAAACUAAAUAGUACUAGUAGAAUAUUAAAUUUGUUUCCCUGGUACUGAUGUGAGACACCUUUGAUUGUAAUACAGAGAAUGUUACCUAUUUUAAGGUAUAGAAUGGAAGGUCUUGAGACUGCAUUUACAUUAUUAUUGUGUCUGGAUUAAUGAAGAGCAAAAAACUGUUCUUUAAAAACAAGUGUACAAAGUUUAGUGUAGUGUAUCUGGAAUAGUCACCUUGGAUGACCAUGGAUGACAUCAGGAAAACAUUAGUUAAUCAUUGAAUCUACUUUGAAGAAAAGUGUCUGGUAAAUGUAAAUGAUUGUCCCUUUAUGUGCCACUAAUUUGGAAUUUAUAUGCUUGUGAUACUGUUCAGUUAGAAUAAAAACCUGUUGUAAACCA
ensembl:lncRNA